rnacentral:rRNA from 1 species
ACACCGGCAGCUCAAGUGGUAGCCGCUUUUAUUGGGCCUAACGCGUCCGGAGCCAGUCUGAUAAGUCUCUGGUGAAAUCCCGCAGCUUAACUGUGGGAAUUGCUGGAGAUACUAUCAUGACUCGAGGUCGGAAGAGGCUGGAGGUACUCCCAGGGUAGGGGUGAAAUCCUGUAAUCCUGGGAGGACCACCUGUGGCGAAGGCGUCCAGCUGGAACGAACCUGACGGUGAGGGACGAAAGCCAGGGGCGCGAACCGGAUUAGAUACCCGGGUAGUCCUGGCCGUAAACGAUGUGGACUUGGUGUUGGGAUGGCUUCGAGCUGCCCCAGUGCCGAAGGGAAGCUGUUAAGUCCACCGCCUGGGAAGUACGGCCGCAAGGCUGAAACUUAAAUGAAUUGGCGGGG